AUUCUGCAAAUAGCAAAGUCUCACAAUCAACUGAGAUUCUACAGCUAAGAGGAAAAGCUCUUCCAGGAUAUUCGGGAUUGGACCUCUUAAGAGAGUAAGAAAAAUGUUCUUCAUAUUUAAUCAGCCAAGCAGAAAACCCAAAGAGGAAAGUUUUACAAAGACUAAAAAUAGAUGGAAAGAUGCAAGUCUUUGCUACAACCUAGGUAUAACUACAACCAAACUUUGACUGAAAGAUGGAGAACUAAUUGGUUCUGACACUUCUAAAGGAAGAAGAUUCAGGAAUUAUUAUCUAGCACCCAGUCUAGAACCAACCUUUCCAUCAUUUUAAAUAUUAUACUUGACAGUAACAUCAGCUGUUCCAUCUGAUGAUAAAGGACAAAGAGUGGUGAGCUGCAUUUCCUGAGUCUCAGCCGAUUUCCCAGCAGAAAUUCCAGUCUGAGGAAGAAUCAGCAAAAGGAAGCCCUCACUGAGAGACACACUGGUAUCAUUCACUGAGUACAGACAGCGAAAGAGGAACAUUUCUAAAGGCAAUUUAGAUUAUUAGUCUAUAUACUUACAUAGCAAAUACAGAUUUAACUUUGCA